rnacentral:lncRNA from 7 species
GGCCAGUGGCCGGGGCAGAGGGCAGCAGGAGGCUGCGAGGCAGCAGCUAACCCAGAAAGCAUGAGUGUCUACUGAUGCCAGACCAGAUGAGGAAGUCCUCUUCCUGCCUCAAUAUCCAGACCAGUUUGUUCUCAUGGGAGGUGAAUCAUUGCUGCCCACUUUGCAUCCUUUGGGAACUGCAUGUGUCAUUGGACACACAUCACUUGGCCUCACUACCAUUCUGUGCGUGUUGUUCCAGGGCUGAUGAAGGAGCUGACCCUUCCCAACCUGGACAUUUUGUCUUAGAAGAACAAGGAUUUUCAUUUUUUCUGUAGGAGUGUCAGACUAUCCAAACAACUUCCAUAGCCCUCUUCUUGACUGGAAGACUCAGACAAAUAUCUCCAGAUCAAGGCAUGAGGAGCCCAAUGCUUUUCAGAGGCAUUAGAUCUGCAGUGCAUGAGCUCACAGUGGAUCACCUGAUACACAGGAAUCAUGAUGAACAUGCAUGUCAGCUAUCCGUGUGGUACAUGUGUGGCUGACGGAGUGCAUCCCAGCUGUGUCAGACUCGUGUGUGUGUUAUAUAGUACCCAAACCCUUAUUUCUCUAUUUGAUUUUCCAGGAAGAACUGUGGGAAUCCUAUACUUAAAAACUUGCUCUGGGUAAACAAUUGUUUAAGCUUGAGGAAGGUCUACAAGAAGUCAGAGCAUGUUGGAACGAUGUCAUUUUGAUAUAUUGUCUUCCUGUUGGAGAUGUGCCACAAGAAGAUACGUGAAGAGACUGACAGUCAUCCUUCAUGAGAAACAGAAGUUGUUUUGGCAUUUGAAAAUAGCACUGCCUAUCAACACAGCAGUCAUGCUUAUCUUCCCUGUUGGAAGACUAUUUGUCGUUUUGUAGAUCAGAAAGCAAAAGGCUCUGAUUCUGCUGUCAUUGUUGACAUGAUAAAUCAGGAGU